AGCCGGAGGGUGAGCCGGGCUGACCUGACUCCGAGCUUUCCCGGAGUUAAUUCGCGGAGGAGUUCGCUCCCCCCGCAAGGGCACGCGACGCCAGCGGGCAACCAGCCCCCGCGCGGAAUGGCUCCCGAACAACUUAGUUCACCUCCUUUAAAAGAGGGUGAUAAAGCGCGCUUUCUCUUUCCGCCGACUCCAGACCGCCCCAGCAGGCGCGCGGCGGGGCGACGUCCUCCGCGCCGUCUGGACCCCUGCACACCCGCGCGCGGCCACCGGGAAGAGGGACAAAGAGUUUGGGCCAAGUUUGAGCUCCGGGCACUGCCAGGCUCGGGGGAAGGAAGGUUCCCCCGGGCGGACACCUGGGUGCCGAAGGUGGAGCAAGGAGAAAAAGCUACCCGGUCCUGUUAGAUAGGUGAGAAGUCAGCUAGUUUCCAGGUUGUCAGGACUCAGGAACAAGAGUGGGAAUCGGGCAACCUCCUAACAUUCCAGGCCAGAUCGAAGACUCUCAAGCCAGAUGGCGUUUCCAAAGUGCCCAGCUGUGUGCGGCUCAUCAGAAAAACUGAUGUUUCAUUUUGGUUCCAGAAACUGUUUCCCAGCCUUGGUACAGAUCUCCUUUAAUGAGAAUUUGGUGACGUGAAACGUUUGGAAAACAAAACACCUCCGGGACCCACAUCCCACAGGUAGACCAGUCUCAAGGCAGUAAGUGAUUUAGGGUGCCCCUCCCCCACAUCUUCCAGAGGGAGUAUGAAUUUGAACCCAGGUCUGCUUGACUCCCACGCCUGGUUUCUUGACCAGCCUUUGGCUCACGAUGUAAGUUACAACAGGAACCCAGAAGACACCAGGGUCCACCAGGGGCCAUCCACAGACACCUGGGCCUGCCAAGCCUCCUUUGCAGAGGGCCUCCUGCCCCCAGCCUCGGAGCUAAACUGUCCUUUCUCUAAUCUUCACGCAAAAUGGAUUUUAGUAGCUGGAUUUUAUUGAGAAACUGACUCCCUCAUCGCCCCACCCCCAGCGUUGAAAAACAUAUUGUCUUCUUUACAGUAGUUCAUUUUGCUUUCCGAGGUGAUUAAUGAAUUAAAGAUGCAGUGUAUUUA